rnacentral:lncRNA from 1 species
CUUCCUUUGGUUAUUCAUGUAGCCACCUUAUCCUGCACAGGUCUGUGGCAGGCCGUGAGACGGUGACCAGAGAAGCAGUCAGCACUCACGGCCCCUGCCCUUUCAGAGUUUACGCUUGCUUGGAAGCCUCCAGAAUGGGGAUAAGCACAAGACAUUUAUGCUGGGCUUCAUCCAGGAAGCUCUGGUGGAAGGAAGAGAAAGCAGCCCACACAGCAAGGUUCAGGAGAAGAUUCCCAUGAAGGACAACUGGGGUUCAGCCCCAUCCAGCAGAUGACACGGAGCCGGCCUCGGAGGUGUCCUCACCGUGGGACACUGGCAUCUGAGCUACCUCAGGGCGUAGCCGGCCGAUGUUCCCAGCCUCCCCCUGGGCACAGCCAGCCCAGGCCAAGUGGUCUAGGACACUUUGCCAGCAAGGACAAGAUGAUUUGCUUAAUAAAAAAAAAAAAAAAAAAAAAAGACUGCAUCCAGCCAGAUAAGGACAUAAACAAGCACGCUCCUCCACUGUCAGUCCUCACCAGAGGACUCUAUGGUCAUAAACAGCUCAAAACUGCGGUCUUAACAGACUCAGUCUUGCUGUCACUCAUGAUGAGAACCCAGCAUUGGCUACCAAAGGCUCUGCCACAUCAAAGACUCUUCCUUGCAGGACCAAAGGACUGCCUGGCCCAGACCAGGAGAUUCUUUUUGGCUUCGUUGCUCUCCCUGGACUGGUUUGUUAAACCUUUCUCCUAUCUCUAUUCUCUUGAUGUUGAAUGUUACUUUUUGUCUGUU